AAAACGGAGAGUUUGAUCCUGGCUCAGGAUGAACGCUGGCGGUAUGCUUAACACAUGCAAGUCGAACGGAACCCUUCGGGGUUUAGUGGCGGACGGGUGAGUAACGCGUGAGAAUCUGGCUUUGGGUUCGGGACAACCACUGGAAACGGUGGCUAAUACCGGAUAUGCCUGAGGGUGAAAGGUUAACUGCCUGAAGAUGAGCUCGCGUCUGAUUAGCUAGUUGGUGGUGUAAGGGACUACCAAGGCGACGAUCCGUAGCUGGUCUGAGAGGAUG
rnacentral:rRNA from 1 species